rnacentral:rRNA from 1 species
CCCUUAGACGUUCUGGGCCGCACGCGCGCUACACUGACCAGUGCAACAAGCAUCCGUCCUUGGCCGACAGGCUCGGGCAAUCUUUGAACGCUGGUCGUGAUGGGGAUAGACUUUUGCAAUUUUUGGUCUUCAACGAGGAAUUCCUAGUAAACGCAAGUCAUCAACUUGCAUUGAUUACGUCCCUGCCCUUUGUACACACCGCCCGUCGCACCUACCGAUUGAAUGGUCCGGUGAAGCCUCCGGAUUGGCGCGCACCUCGGUGCCGCCGAGAAGUUGGCUAAACCUUACCAUUUAGAGGGAGGUGAAGUCGUAACA